rnacentral:sRNA from 1 species
UGACCAUUCUUUCCCAGAAAGAAUCGAGGCCAUACGGACAGCCGGGUCAACUGCCGA